rnacentral:tRNA from 1 species
UCCUUGGUGGCUAAGAUGGUAAAAAGAAUCCACCUGCAAUGUGGGAGACCUGGGUUCAAUCCCUGGGUUAGGAA